AAUGAGCGAAAGCUUGACGGAGCAAUGCCGCGUGUAGGAUGAACCCCCUCGGGGUGUAAACUACUGUCAGGGGCUAGAAACUCAAUGAUCAGCCCCAGAGGAAGAGCCGGCUAACUCUGUGCCAGCAGCCGCGGUAAUACAGAGGGCUCAAGCGUUAAUCGGAAUCACUGGGCUUAAAGGGUGCGUAGGCGGGCUUGUAAGUACUUUGUGAAAUCCCACGGCUCAACCGUGGAACUGCUUGGUAAACUGCAAGCCUUGAGGUCGGUAGAGGCUGUCGGAACUCUAGGUGUAGCGGUGAAAUGCGUAGAUAUCUAGAGGAACGCCCAAGGUGAAGACAGGCAGCUGGGCCGAAUCUGACGCUGAGGCACGAAAGCGUGGGUAGCGAACGGGAUU
rnacentral:rRNA from 1 species